rnacentral:rRNA from 1 species
UGGGGAAUAUUGCACAAUGGGCGAAAGCCUGAUGCAGCAACGCCGCGUGAGUGAUGAAGGCCUUCGGGUCGUAAAACUCUGUCCUCAAGGAAGAUAAUGACGGUACUUGAGGAGGAAGCCCCGGCUAACUACGUGCCAGCAGCCGCGGUAAUACGUAGGGGGCUAGCGUUAUCCGGAUUUACUGGGCGUAAAGGGUGCGUAGGUGGUUUCUUAAGUCAGGAGUGAAAGGCUACGGCUGAACCGUAGUAAGCUCUUGAAACUGGGAAACUUGAGUGCAGGAGAGGAAAGUGGAAUUCCUAGUGUAGCGGUGAAAUGCGUAGAUAUUAGGAGGAACACCAGUAGCGAAGGCGGCUUUCUGGACUGUAACUGACACUGAGGCACGAAAGCGUGGGGAGCAAACA